rnacentral:lncRNA from 1 species
GGAAAUUGCAGACCUUGUGUUAGCACAGCCUGGCCAUCAGCCCUGGGAGGUACUCCUAAAGCUAAGCCUCACUUUGGCUGCUUAUGAACUCAGGAGUCACAUCUCUGGGGAAAGUAUCAUAGUAUUUUCAGAGGUGACUCAAAGGAAAAAGCAGUUCCUUGAAACGUUCUGGAGUAGAUCUUGGGCAGGUCAGGAGAUCAUAAGGAAGAGAAAUUACAAUAGCUAAGCAGCAGUAAUGGUGACAACUUACAAUUAUGAAGUGCUUUGGGGUAGAAGAGAGGUCAACUGGUCCUUAUGCCUCAAGAAAUUCAGGAGAGCAUCUGAGGAAUAAGCUGUUAGAAAUGAAGAUUUUAAACAUCACACCAGGAGGUGCAUGCACAGACCUCAUUAUAUUCCCAACAGGUCUGCUAGCUCACGAGAACGUAACACACCAGAGAGACACUCUCUGUUCUAACAGUUGACAGGGCUAAAAUAAAGGAGGCAUCUCCCUCCCUGCCA